CCUACGGGGGGCAGCAGUGGGGAAUAUUGGACAAUGGGGGGAACCCUGAUCCAGCCAUGCCGCGUGUGUGAAGAAGGCCCUCGGGUUGUAAAGCACUUUCAGUGAGGAAGAACGCCUGGUGGUUAAUACCCAUCAGGAAAGACAUCACUCACAGAAGAAGCACCGGCUAACUCCGUGCCAGCAGCCGCGGUAAUACGGAGGGUGCGAGCGUUAAUCGGAAUUACUGGGCGUAAAGCGCGCGUAGGUGGCUUGAUAAGCCGGUUGCGAAAGCCCCGGGCUCAACCUGGGAACGGCAUCCGGAACUGUCAAGCUAGAGUGCAGGAGAGGAAGGUAGAAUUCCCGGUGUAGCGGUGAAAUGCGUAGAGAUCGGGAGGAAUACCAGUGGCGAAGGCGGCCUUCUGGACUGACACUGACACUGAGGUGCGAAAGCGUGGGUAGCAAACAGGAUUAGAUACCCGUGUAGUC
rnacentral:rRNA from 1 species